UAUGUUUGUGUGCCAGCCGCCGCGGUAAUACGUAGGGAGCAAGCGUUGUCCGGAUUUACUGGGUGUAAAGGGUGCGUAGGCGGCUUUGCAAGUCAGAUGUGAAAUCUAUGGGCUCAACCCAUAAACUGCAUUUGAAACUGUAGAGCUUGAGUGAAGUAGAGGCAGGCGGAAUUCCCCGUGUAGCGGUGAAAUGCGUAGAGAUGGGGAGGAACACCAGUGGCGAAGGCGGCCUGCUGGGCUUUAACUGACGCUGAGGCACGAAAGCGUGGGUAGCAAACAGG
rnacentral:rRNA from 1 species